ACUCCUACGGGAGGCAGCAGUAGGGAAUCUUCCACAAUGGGCGCAAGCCUGAUGGAGCAACACCGCGUGAGUGAAGAAGGGUUUCGGCUCGUAAAGCUCUGUUGUUAAAGAAGAACACGUAAUGAGAGUAACUGUUCAUACGUUGACGGUUAUUUAACCAGAAAGUCACGGCUAACUACGUGCCAGCAGCCGCGGUAAUACGUAGGUGGCAAGCGUUAUCCGGAUUUAUUGGGCGUAAAGAGAGUGCAGGCGGUUUUCUAAGUCUGAUGUGAAAGCCUCCGGCUUAACCGGAGAAGUGCAUCGGAAACUGGAUAACUUGAGUGCAGAAGAGGUAGUGGAACUCCAUGUGUAGCGGUGGAAUGCGUAGAUAUAU
rnacentral:rRNA from 1 species